GCAAUGGAACGUUCCAAUGCACUCUGGAAGGUGGGGAGGAAAUAGGCGGAGCAACCCAUUUAGACCAGUGGGGAGAAGCAGCAGCAAAUGUAUCCUGGGAAUCGAAAGAAGGCCACUCCAGGCCCUGCAGCUCCCAGGAACAACCCACCCUUAAGGGGCGGAGGGCCCCUGGGGCUGCGCUGACUCACGCCUGGAAGAUGCGGCUGCCUGGUCGUUGAACUUGAGCGACUCCACAAUCCGGGCCUCCGAACUCUGUAGGCAGUUCCCGACCCAGACCCUACCACCCAAUCCAGACUUCCGAGCUCCAGGCGCCUGCACCUCUCAACCUAUUAGUGACCCCAACCCGAUGCCCUAAAGCCUGGGUUAGGGCCCUUAUUUGCUUGAGCGUUUACUUAAUUAAAGCGUUUCCCUUGAGAAAAGGUU